UACGGAGGAUGCGAGCGUUAUCCGGAUUUAUUGGGUUUAAAGGGUGCGCAGGCGGAUUUUUAAGUCAGCGGUCAAAUCGUGGGGCUCAACCCCAUCCAGCCGUUGAAACUGGGGAUCUAGAGUGUGCGAUAGGUAUGCGGAAUGCGUGGUGUAGCGGUGAAAUGCAUAGAUAUCACGCAGAACCCCGAUUGCGAAGGCAGCAUACCGGUGCACAACUGACGCUCAGGCACGAAAGCGUGGGUAUCGAACAGG
rnacentral:rRNA from 1 species